rnacentral:rRNA from 1 species
AGGGAAACCGAGUCUUAACUGGGCGUUAAGUUGCAGGGUAUAGACCCGAAACCCGGUGAUCUAGCCAUGGGCAGGUUGAAGGUUGGGUAACACUAACUGGAGGACCGAACCGACUAAUGUUGAAAAAUUAGCGGAUGACUUGUGGCUGGGGGUGAAAGGCCAAUCAAACCGGGAGAUAGCUGGUUCUCCCCGAAAGCUAUUUAGGUAGCGCCUCGUGAACUCAUCUUCGGGGGUAGAGCACUGUUUCGGCUAGGGGGUCAUCCCGACUUACCAACCCGAUGCAAACUGCGAAUACCGAAGAAUGUUAUCACGGGAGACACACGGCGGGUGCUAACGUCCGUCGUGAAGAGGGAAACAACCCAGACCGCCAGCUAAGGUCCCAAAGUCACAGUUAAGUGGGAAACGAUGUGGGAAGGCUCAGACAGCCAGGAUGUUGGCUUAGAAGCAGCCAUCAUUUAAAGAAAGCGUAAUAGCUCACUGGUCGAGUCGGCCUGCGCGGAAGAUGUAACGGGGCUAAACUGUGCACCGAAGCUGCGGCAGCGACGCUUAUGCGUUGUUGGGUAGGGGAGCGUUCUGUAAGCCUGCGAAGGUGUCCUGUGAGGGAUGCUGGAGGUAUCAGAAGUGCGAAUGCUGACAUAAGUAACGAUAAAGCGGGUGAAAAGCCCGCUCGCCGGAAGACCAAGGGUUCCUGUCCAACGUUAAUCGGGGCAGGGUGAGUCGACCCCUAAGGCGAGGCCGAAAGGCGUAGUCGAUGGGAAACGGGUUAAUAUUCCCGUACUUGGUGUUACUGCGAAGGGGGGACGGAGAAGGCUAUGUUGGCCGGGCGACGGUUGUCCCGGUUUAAGCGUGUAGGCUGGUUUUCCAGGCAAAUCCGGAAAAUCAAGGCUGAGGCGUGAUGACGAGGCACUACGGUGCUGAAGCAACAAAUGCCCUGCUUCCAGGAAAAGCCUCUAAGCAUCAGGUAACAUCAAAUCGUACCCCAAACCGACACAGGUGGUCAGGUAGAGAAUACCAAGGCGCUUGAGAGAACUCGGGUGAAGGAACUAGGCAAAAUGGUGCCGUAACUUCGGGAGAAGGCACGCUGACACGUAGGUGAAGUGAUUUACUCAUGGAGCUGAAGUCAGUCGAAGAUACCAGCUGGCUGCAACUGUUUAUUAAAAACACAGCACUGUGCAAACACGAAAGUGGACGUAUACGGUGUGACGCCUGCCCGGUGCCGGAAGGUUAAUUGAUGGGGUCAGCGCAAGCGAAGCUCCUGAUCGAAGCCCCGGUAAACGGCGGCCGUAACUAUAACGGUCCUAAGGUAGCGAAAUUCCUUGUCGGGUAAGUUCCGACCUGCACGAAUGGCGUAAUGAUGGCCAGGCUGUCUCCACCCGAGACUCAGUGAAAUUGAACUCGCUGUGAAGAUGCAGUGUACCCGCGGCAAGACGGAAAGACCCCGUGAACCUUUACUAUAGCUUGACACUGAACAUUGAGCCUUGAUGUGUAGGAUAGGUGGGAGGCUUUGAAGUGUGGACGCCAGUCUGCAUGGAGCCGACCUUGAAAUACCACCCUUUAAUGUUU